CAUAGAUCCAAUCAGGCCUAUUACCGGGUUCAACAAGAAGCGGCAGCUGGGUUCGCAGUUGGCGACGAGCUUGCCGGUGGCGCUGUCGUAGGUCUCCAUGGUCUCCACCAGGAAGUCUGGCUCGGGGUUUUCGAUGAGCGGGUCAACGCAGCAGGUCGGCUGCCAGAACCACCCUGGCUGGCAGCGAGUCCCCGGCCACUGCAGGAGUCACGAUCCGUUAGACUUCAUUAACAGUUUACCGUACAAGAAAGGCUUUCUGUAAAGCCGAGAGAGAGAGAGAGAGAGAGGAAUAGGUACUAUGAGAGACAGGAUCAUGUAGUCGUAUGAAGCAGCUGCUAGCGCACAAGAGGCGGCGCACAAGAGGAAGCAGAACGUGGGAAGAGCCUUUGAGCCAGCCAUUCUGCAGAGGUGGAGAGGAUGAUCGGGGGAGAGACGCUUCGUGAGGUGAUGAGUCUGAUGGCUCUAUAUAAGCACUACAUUGAAGACACACCCACCUACUGAUAAUUGUUGGACUAAUAAUGCACCGCGAUUGCUGUUAGGGGGGUCUUAAAAUAAUGCACUUCGCAUAAAAUGUCGUACACCAACAUGAAACAUGAGGGACAUUCCCGCAUAUCGCAAGCAUAGUGGGUUGCAAAAUGCAAGGAAAGAAAGUAAGGAAUUUAUUUGAUUAUGGUCUCUCAUAGCUAUAAGAUUAUGGUCUCUCGUAGCUAUAUGGACUAUGUGACAUCGUCAAACCACGAUGUCACCUCCACCCUCCACCCCACCAGCCACUGGACCCUUUCCAUACAUUACAAUCAUUAAUCUUGAUGGAGGUGAACGAGAGAUAAUCAUAAGUAUUUUUCCUCUCUUCUCUUUUGUAUGACUCAUCGUAUUAGAUAUUAUCGUACGCUUCACGCACAUAUUGUUUUACUCACCUGAUCGAGCAACGAUAAUAGUGUGAUAGAAGCGAGCAAGGGAUACUCCUUCGACUAAGGGGCUUGAAAUCUAAGAGAUAGAAAAGGGAUUGAGGAUAAAGACACGAGCAAGAGAUAAUAUAAUUUUAUGACGAAUAAGAGUUAAAGAGUAAGAUGAGAAUGACUAUAUGAUGCGAAUAAAACAAAAAAGUGACAUUAGUAGAAUAAAAAGUAAAAAANNNNNNNNNNNNNNNNNNNNNNNNNNNNNNNNNNNNNNNNNNNNNNNNNNNNNNNNNNNNNNNNNNNNNNNNNNNNNNNNNNNNNNNNNNNNNNNNNNNNCGUGUUAUUAUCUAUCGGCAAACAAUUGACUUGAUAAUUGAUAAGGCAUAUAUUUAGGAUCUCGGCCACGUCGCGAUCCACGCCACGUCACACUCCUGCAGAUUCAACACAAGGGUUGCCUUCCUUCCACGUCGAGUUGGAGCUCGUAUAGGGAGGCACCCUCUCAACAAGUCCCUUCCCAGAAAGCUUGGGACGUUGUCCCAUGGCGUCGUUCCGCGCAUACCGGGUGACGAUUACACGAAGGUACGAUCUUGGGGGUAUCGAUCGUCAAGUCAAAUCCGCGUAUAAUCGAUCCUCGGACAAUAGUAUAAAAUCCCUUGACCGGCAUCUGGCUAGGAGACAAAGAACAGAAGAAAAAAAUCACUGACUUAGUCUACGAUGGGCCAAAGUCGGGAAUCUCCAGACCAGGGCGUGUGUGCAGGAACGUGGCCACCCCCGAACUAGCUCAAUCCCUCAUUGGAGAUGCGACCAUCCUGGCCGUUGAUCCAGACGCGACCAUCCCGACCCCUGAUCCAACUCGGCCUCGAUGCUUCUUCCAAUCGAUCGAGAGGCGCACUCCCGAACGUCGAAAACUCUGGACAUCGACAUGUGAACCAAAACGUGCCGACUCCUCGACCACGGCACGUAAGUUCACCAACAAAAAUAACGACGCAUUGUUGAAACAUUGAUUAUAAUCAAAGAAGAACGUUCUCAAAAUUAUUUUAAAAAAUAUUUUAUUUCUACCUAAUUAGUCAAUUAUUUAAAAUUUUUUUGAUGAUCAAUUCAUUUUCACUAACUCAGUAAAAUAUAAUAUUUGAAGAAAAUUAUACUGAAGAUAGAAUGUAAUAAAUGUAAUUAUAUAUAUAUAAUUAAUAUUUUUAAAAUAUAUUAAAUCGGAUAAUUUUACGGAAUAAGGUUUUGAGUCGUUCGAUGUAUGACUCUGUUAUAUCAAUAUAAGAUGAUAUUUUAGAUAUUAAAAAUAUAUACGAGACAACAUUUUGGUGCAGUUAUAUAUGUUUAAGAAAGACCACUUUUAUUACUGCAGGUGUGAAGAAGAUGCGACUCUACAACUCGGGAGUAAAAGACGAAGCGACAGCUCACAUCACCAUAAGUGCAAGCAUGUGGAUCACGCCAAGCAGAAGAAGACAGGCUUAAAGCAGUUCCUCCAUCACAGUGCCAUCUCGUCGCCGGAGGGCAACUCGAUCACUGUCUUGGAAACGGCGUCGUCUUCACGGCCUUGCAGUGGGUACGACACAGGGGGGAACUUGACCGUGUCGCCGCAGUUACUCUCCCUGCCGUUGGGGCAGCCGAUGAUCGACCUCCCGUCGCUGGAGACGCAGACGCGGAUCUGGUAGAGGUAGUCUUCGUAGAAGAAAGGCCAGAGAAUGUAAUUCCUGGUGCACACCACCGUGAACGAGAACCCGAUCCUGGGCACCAACGCGUCGUUGAUGUCGUCCAGGCUGUAGCUCUUCGUCGCGUGCGGUAUGAUCCCACUCGAGCCCAGGUUGACGAGGGGGUCCACCUUCUUCCUGAGUUGAAGCGCCCGGUCGAAGUAGAGCGACUGGUUGAGGCUGGAGCAAGUGCCGUAGGUGCACCACACGUCCUUCCAGUGGGGCAUCCCGCUGUUGCUGGGACAGGUCAGGUUGGCGUAGUACGUGUACAAGUUGUCGAGCAUGUUCACCAGCUGUCCAAACAAGACAAAGCGGUCAUCAUCGACAUCUCGGCCGAGUUAGCUCGGGUGGAGGAGGCUAACGAGACUCACCGGAAGUAUCUUGAAGACGCAGCUUCUGCUGCAGCCGGUGACCGGUUUACCGGUGGCGCUGUCGUAGGUUUCCAGGGCUUGGACGAGGAAGUCCGCCGCCGGCUCGCCAUUCGUCGGCAUACAGCACUUCCCUGUCGGUUGCGAGCUAGCACAGUAGCUUCCUGGCCACUGCAGUGAGAAGGACAUCAUACCAUCACCCAUCUUGCCAUCGAUGGUUACCACUACUGCAGGAAACCAGAACCAAGUAGAGGGUAACUAUACCAUAAGUUUCAAGAUCAGGUAGUCGGGCUUCGAAGCUGCCCUUGCCGCCGGAGAGGAAGACAAGCAUAACAGCAAGACAAGCAAGCAGAUCCCAGGAAGAGCCUUGAGGAUAGCCAUUCUGCAGGAGCUGUCGAGUUGCCUUGGUGAUGGUGGAUAAUAUAAGCCCAUCGUGGAACACACUGGUUGUGGCCUGGUGGUGGCGGGAUCCAUGGCAGCUCUAUCAAGAAAUGGCUGUCCUCGUCUCAGCCAUCAGCCUCUCCCCACGAGUUUCACGUGGCUUGCAGAUCUCAUCGCUUUCGAGAAAUGGUCGCCGUGCUGUUCACCACCAAUUUAAUGAUGACAUUAAAAUAAUGGCACAGUACAAGAUCAGAUGAUGUUCCAUGUGACUGACUUCUUUUAUUUGGACUCUCUCUCUCUCUCAUGAUUCGGGAACGGACAAGGAGAUGGAAGCAUUGAUUACAGUCGAGCCACCCAAACAACACCCCACUCCUCGCCAUCAAAUGUUCUUAUCUUCACAGACCGAACAUCAUUGAAGGGACUAAUAAGAAGAAGAUGGAUAGCAACCUGAUCGAAACAAGAACAAUGUUGAGAUGGGGAGGGGUUACGAACCGGUUCUGAGAAAGAUUUCUAGAUGUGAUUUCCUCUAAAGAAAUCAUGCAUUAAUUUGUUCUUGACCAAGUACAACAUGACUCGGAGAUUGGUAGACAAGAAAAAUGUAUUCAGAUCGUUCAUAAUUUCAUUUAAGAAAACCGAUCUAGAAGGAUUUUUUUUUGCGACAAUUAGGGAUUGAAAAUAGUCACGAUUAAGCCACUAAGUAGGGGUGAUGGUAAUUUCAGAACGGUCAAUUUUGAUUUCCGAAAUCAGCAACCGAGAAAAUAAAGAGUUAAAAAUAAUUAUAAUGAAUAUCAAAGUCUUUCCUCCAAUUACUAUAUGUUAGGAUAAAAAAUAUCGUUGAUGCGUGUAUUAGCAUGAUGUGAUCCUGAUCCGCAUACGAGGAGUCGAUAGAACAAGAUUUCUUCGAUCUCGUUCAUAUACAAAGACUAAGAUUGAAAGGGAUUUUCCGAGUUGAUUUAUCUAAUGCUUAACUUAGCACUUAGUUGCAUACAAAGACUUAUUUUUUUUUUAAUGAAGAUCCUAUAGAGAAAAAGUUCGAACUCAACUAUCUUUUUUAUUUUUAUGAUAUAUUUUUGUGAAUAUUUUUAUAGGAAAACUAGUUUAUAAUCAACUCAAACUACCUUUUAAUAUUCCUGAAAUAUUCCUACAAAUAUUUUGUAAGAAAGUCUGAAUUGUCUUAUGGGAAUAAUUCACGAUUAGCUAGUUUUUAAUUGAUCUGAAUUAUCUUCAAUUUUUUAUGAAUAUUUAAAUAUUUCAUCGAGGAGGUAGCUUAACAAAUCGGUAAUUGACCCGAGCUAUCUUUUGAGUUCGAAUAGAAAAUAUUGGCUUAAUAUGACAUUGACGUUACGAACGAUGACUAACCAAUUUAAUAUUUUCUUUCGCUAUGUGUAGUCAAACACUAUGUGAGUUGUGUUCAAACCACAAACUCUACGUAGCUAAAGAAAAAAAAAAAGGUAAGAUUAUUUUGUAUGAUCUAUAUUGAUCAAACGAUAAACAAGAAAAAAAUAGAAAAAGGUAAGAUAAGAUUAUUUUUUAUGGUCUCAUCGAAUAAAGUUUAUGUCGUCGAAACAAUUUCUAUGGUUACAAGAAUAGUGGAAGUCUCGUCAAGAGGAAACAAAAGAAUAUGGAAUAUGUGGAUCUCCUUUUUCCACGAAGGAGAGAUGGCAGAAGAAUUUUGUGUUCGAAUCCCAUCAUUUAUUUUGUAUCAAAAAAAGACACUAAUUCAACGAAAAGCUGAACACAAAUGAUGGAGAGAUGGAGUUUAGAUAUCAAACGUAUGGGAAUUUUACCUUCAUUAAGUAAAAUCCCAACUUGUUCAUGACAGGUAAUAUGCUCUGUUGUUAUUUGAUUAAUCUUAGAGACAGAGAUCAUAAAACAACAUCUUAUUCCAGUAGAUCGCAAGACGAUGAUGACAUCCUACACACAGGCAAUUCAUCAUGUUUGAGUGCCAAGAUGAUGAUGAUGACAUCCGCAUGACAAGAGGGCAGUAAUCCGUGGAUCGAUCACUGAGUCAUCGCCUUGUCCGAUGGCAACUUGAUGUGGUCGACCGCCGGAUGGCGCGGGCGCCCGAGCAUGUCGUCCGUGAACGGGUAGAACUUGACCUUGCUGCCGCAGUUGCUCUUCCUGGCGAAGGGACAACCGAUGAGAGACUUGCCGUCGGCGGAGACGCAGAUGCGGACUCUGGAGAGCAGGUAUUCCCGACUCAGCACGCCCAUCUCCGUGGUGCACUCCACCACCGCCGAGAACCCGAUCUUGGGCACCAGCGCGUCCUCGAUGUCCUCCAAACUGUAGCUCUUCGUCUCCGACGGGAUGAUGGCUUGAGAUCAGGAACAGAUCCAUGCGUUAGCUGCAGACACUUGUAAGCUCGAGGUCGGCGUGCAGGGCAGGGCUGCUUACCUUUGGAGCCGAGAGCACGGAGGAUGUCCACUCGAGCCCGGAGCUGAAGCGCCCGGCCGAAGUAAUUCACCUCGCUGAGGCUGGUACAGUUGCCGUAGGUACACCAGGCGGCCUUCCACACCUGCUUCCCGUUCUGGGCUGGGCAGCUCAAGCUGGGCCAGUAGGCGUUCAAGUCGUCCAACAGAUCGACAAGCUGUGGCAUGCGCAGAGUGAUCAGUGUGGGUCGGGAGCAGCGGAGAUCAUCGACUGCAUAGAUCCAAUCUGGCCUAUUACCGGGUUUAUCAAGAAGCGGCAGUUGGGUUCGCACUUGGCGACGAGCUUGCCGGUGGCGCUGUCGUAGGUCUCCAUGGUCUCCACCAGGAAGUCUGGCUCGGGGUUGCCGAUGAGCGGGUCAACGCAGCAGGUCGGCUUCCCGUUCCACCCUGGCUGGCAGCGAGUCCCCGGCCACUGCAGGAGUCACGAUCCAUUAGACUUCAUUAGCAAUUCACAGUAGGACUCAUCGAUUGCACAAGAAGGGCUUUCUGUAAAGCCGAAACAAAAGAGAGAGAGGAAUAGGUACUCUGAGAGACAGGAUCAUGUAGUCGUAUGAAGCAGCUGCUAGCGCACAAGAGGCGGCGCACAAGAGGAAGCAGAACGUGGGAAGAGCCUUUGAGCCGGCCAUUCCGCAGAGGUGGGAAGGAUGAUCGGGGGAGAUGAUGAGUCUGAUGGCUCUAAAUAAGCACGAAGACACACCCACCCACCCACCGAUAAUUGUUGGGCUACAUCGAUAUUGUUCUCGUGAGUAUAAUAUAAUAUAAUAUAAUGCACCUCGAUUGCGGCAUGGGGGUCGUAAAAUAAUGCACUUCGCUUUAAAUUUCGUACACCAACGUGAAACACGUGGGACGUUCCCGCAUCCCGCAAUCGUAGUGGGUUGGAAAGUGCGAGGAAAAAAAGAAGGAUUUUAUUUGAUUAUGGUCUCUCAUAGCAUAUUAUACUCUUCAUCUAAAUUAGGGAUUAAAAGGCUUCGAGACCAAGCAAGUGAAUAAUAAUAAAAUAAUAUAUUAAAAAAUCGAUCAAGAAAAAAUCCGUAAAAUAUUUUAUUCAUCUUUGAACAUGCUUUCGACCAUGCAUUAUUGAAACAUAUUCGUCCAUUUGAAAUAUCAUAUCUUUAAUCGCAUAUUACAUAUCAUAUGAAUUGGAUAUGUGUACUACCAUUAUUUUCCUUAAAUAAUAAUUUAAAUUUAUUAAAUUAAAAUUUAUGCCUGUGGACAUUAUUGUGUGAUCGGAACUGAGAACGAAGACUCGAACAAUGCAAAGGUCCGUAAGGUCUCGCCGAAUCAUCUUCCUUUGUCUUCCCUUUUACGCCAUCGGCGGUACCGAUGCAUUCGAUCCGGAGCUGGGCCUUCUCCGCCCUGAUCCUGGCUGUCACCGUCCUCUUCUUCUUCUUCUUCGACUGGCCGUCUCCUCCUCUUCAAGAAAUAGCCGGAGAUAUUCCUGGAUCCUUGAAUGACAUCGCUGUGACGGUAGGCCAUGGCUUCGAUUUCUUUCUCUCCCCUUCCUCUUCCCUUACCUUCUUUUCCCUUAGGAUAGGACAUAUUUUGGCCUUAUAUGAACCACCGAUAGACGUUGCAGAUCGACACAACACCGUACGCCUCCAAAACCGUGGGGUGCAUGCCACGUCAAGAGCCAACGAUGCAAUUGUGCGGCUUGACCACCUCAAAAGCUGGGGGCGGUGCCGUCUGCUGCUAGGGCAGUGUCGUCUGACGCCCCUCGAGCACCCUCGAAGAUGUCAUCUUGUCAGAGAGGUUGUUCCGCCCCUAGAGUUAACGACCAUAUCGGACCAGGGCCCGACCAAUUACCGCACGCAGGUAUAAAUACCCCCGACCUGAUCCAAAAAAAAGGGAGAAAAGGAUGAGAGAUUUAGAAUGAAUCUAACUUGCUCGUCGGAGGGGCCAAAGUUGGGACUUACCCUACGAGGGUCUUUUUGCAGAGAGGUAGUCGUCGCUGAGACGCGAAUGUCGUCUUCACACGGACGGUGCCCGGUACGCAGAGGAGGGUGGCCCAACGAGUCGGACUCGACAAGUGUCAGCCCGCAUCUCCCAUCUCCAAGAGGCUUCCACACCACAAGGAGGAUCCCCAACCAUCCGAGGGGAUGAGAGGACGCAUCUUCUCAUGAACAAUGCUCAUAUCGGCCAACUUUGGAAAGCCGGCUCACAGCGAGGCUCAGGCCGACCUUGCCACCUCAACCGGCGCUCAACGCGUUUAAGGGGCGCAACCACUCAAACGAUAGUAAUUCCGCCAGAAGUUCCCGACGUCGGCAGGUGGGCCUAGUCAUGCUGACAUAUUAGUCACGACAUGUUUGUUCACUAACAUUUUGGCCCUAGAAGAAGGGCCCAUGUCGCGGGAAUAGCUGGCAAGAACGUGCCCUGGGAGGGAACCCCCGACCGACCUCCCUUUCGCUGAGCCAGAAGGACAACCCCUCUCUACCCCUAUGGACGGAGGGAUACCGAUUUCAACGCUUGAUCGUUACUGGCGCUUGUUCAACGACCCGGGACUAUCCCCCCCGGGGCUCACCCCGGGGGGCCCGGCUGUGAUGCCCGAGGCAUUCCUUAGCCUAACCAAGCAAGUAUAGACCAUGACAGGCAUGAUGCACUCACUCGCCCCGAUCACUCCCCAAAUCGGGCAGCCCUCGAUGCCCUCGACCGAUCCGACCCGGCAACCCCCGAACGGGGAACAGCUCGGGGUUGGGCCAGCCUCGUGGCGAGCAACGGACCCGAGGGGUCCUCCCGUGCAAAAUGCGCCCACAGCUUGCUGAGCCACCCCAUCUCAUCUAGAGCCCGAUACUAUAUCAUCUGACUCGGCGAACGACUCACUCAGAGCUCAGUUGUCCCGGGUCAAUCAGCACCUGGACGAGUUCCAGCGUGAGCUUUGGAGAUUGCGUAGUGAGCCUAGCGAGGGCGCUUUGGUUGGGUCCCUCUUUACCCAAGAAGUACAAGAUAAGCCGGUCCCCCUCAACUUCAGGUUCCCGACAUUAGAAACGUACGAUGGAGGCUCGAUCCCAUGGAGCAUGUCUUUGUAUUCCGGGCCUAGAUGGCCCUCUAUGGUGCCUCCGAUGUGCUGAUGUGCCGAGUGUUUCCGACCACUCUGCGUGGCCCGGCGUGGACAUGGUUCAGCCGGCUGUGUCAAGCUUCAGUCUCGUCCUUCGACCAGGUGGUCGAGGAAUUUGAGCAAAGCUUCCUCACCGGCGCACGGCCCAGGCCCUCCAUGGCCACUUUGCUUGCACUAUCUCAGCACGAGGACGAGUCGCUCUCUCAGUUCGUGGCACGGUUCACACUAAGAUCCGAGGUUUUUCAGAUACUCACCCUUCUCUAAUCUUGCAAGCCUUUAUGAUGGGUCUUAAACCUUUAAGGUUCUUAUGGUCGUUGAUCGAGAAGCCGCCAGCGACCAUCUCUGAGAUGCUUCUACGUGCCAACCAGUACAUUGCCGUCGAGGCUUUAGUGGCGGGGAGGCACGUGGAAGGCAAGAAGCUCAGGAUGGAGCUGUCUCGAGGAACGGCCUCGGCGUUCCCGACGCCUCCCCGCCGGGGGCUCAACCGACAAGAGCUGCUACUCCCAAGACCCCCACCUCUCCCCCUAAACACAUCCCGUUCCGAGAUCUUCCUCUAGAUCAAAGAGACGAGCCUCUUGCAGCAGCCUUGCCCUAUGAAGGCCGCCCACAGAGACCAAUCUAAAUACCGUGGGGAUCCGUCGGCACACCCCGGAGGUGGGGGAGAAGUGAUAGGGCAUAUUUUGGCUCUAGAUGAAUCACCAACAAAUGUCACAAACCAAUAGCCACGAACGCAAUGCCAUGCGCCACCAGAACCACGGGGUGCAUGCCACGUCAAGUUCGGUACUAUGUGAUUGUGCGACUUGACCACCCCAAGAGCUCGGGGCGGUGUCGUCUACUUUUGGGACAGUGCCGUCUGACGCCACUCAAGCACCCCCAAGGAUGCCAUCUCGUCAAAGAAGUUAUCCCACCCCCAUGAAAGUUAGCGGCCACGCCGAACUGAGGCACAACCAACUCUCGCACGCAAGUAUAAAUACCCCCGUCCGAUCCCGAUGAGAGAAGAAAAAAAGGAGGAAGAAAAAACAGGGGAAUCCGAACUAAUCUAACUUGCUUGUCGGUGGGGCCAAAGUCGAGAGACACUCGACGAAGACCGUUUUGCAGGGAGGUGAUCGCCACUGAGCUGCGAGCGUCUCCACCCUGAAGUUGUCACCUAAUGCGCAGAGGAGGGUGGUCCAGUGGUUCGGAUCCCAACCAGCGCCGGCCUGCAUCUCCCAUCUCAAGGGUGUGCCCACGUCGCGGGGAAAGAUUGCCAACUAUCCCGGGGAUGAGAGGACACAUCUCGCCAGAAGCGACGCUCAGGUCGGCUAGCUUUGGAGUGCUAACCCCCAGCCGCUCGCGAGGACCCGACCGACCCUACCGCCUCAACCCUCGCUCGUAACGCUCGAGAGGCGCAACCAUCUCAUCAUCCUACUCAUUCCACUAGAAGUUUCCGACGUCGGUCCGUGGACCAAACUGUGAUGUCUCAUCAGCCAUGGUACUUUUGUUCACUAACAGACAUCAAACAUAUGGGAAUUUUACCUUCAUUAAUUAAAAUCCCAACUUGUUCAUGACCGGUAAUAUGCUAUGUGAUUAUUUGAUUAAUCUUAGAGACAGAGAUCAUAAAACAUCAUCUUAUUCCAGCAUAUGGCAAGACGAUGAUGACAUCCUACACACAGGCAAAUCAUCGUGUUUUAGUGCCAAGAUGAUGAUGAUGAUAUCCGCAUGACAUCGUACACAUAUCGCCUUGUCCGAUGGCAACUUGAUAUGGCCGGCCGCCGGAUGGCGCGGGCGCCCGAGCAUGUCGUCCGUGAACGGGUAGAACUUGACCUUGCUGCCGCAGUUGCUCUUCCUGGCGAAGGGACAACCGAUGAUAGACUUGCCGUCGGCGGAGACGCAGAUGCGGACUCUGGAGAGCAGGUAUUCCCGACUCAGCACGCCCAUCUCCGUGGUGCACUCCACCACCGCCGAGAACCCGAUCUUGGGCACCAGCGCGUCCUCGAUGUCCUCCAAACUGUAGCUCUUCGUCUCCGACGGGAUGAUGGCUUGAGAUCAGGAACCGAUCCAUGCGUUAGCUGCAGACACUUGUAAGCUCGAGGUCGGCAUGCAGGGCAGGGCUGCUUACCUUUGGAGCCGAGGGCAUGGAGGACGUCGGCUCGAGCCCGGAGCUGAAGCGCCCGGCCGAAGUAAUUCACCUCGCUGAGGCUGGUACAGUUGCCGAAGGUACACCAGGCGGCCUUCCACACCUGCUUCCCGUUCUGGGCUGGGCAGCUCAAGCUGGGCCAGUAGGCGUACAAGUCGUCCAACAGAUCGACAAGCUGUGGCAUGAGCAGAGUGAUCAGUGUGGGUCGGGAGCAGCGGAGAUCAUCGACUGCAUACAUCUAAUCUGGCCUAUUACCGGGUUUAUCAAGAAGCGGCAGUUGGGUUCGCACUUGGCGACGAGCUUGCCGGUGGCGCUGUCGUAGGUCUCCAUGGUCUCCACCAGGAAGUCUGGCUCGGGGUUGUCGAUGAGCGGGUCAACGCAGCAGGCCGGCUUCCCGGUCCACCCUGGCUGGCAGCUAGUCCCCGGCCACUGCACGAGUCACGAUCCAUUAGACUUCAUUAGCAGUUCACCGCAGGAGUCAUCGUUUGCACAAGAAAGGCUUUCUGUAAAGCCGAAACAAAAGAGAGAGAGAGAGAGAGAGAGAGAGAGAGAGGAAUUAGGUACUAUGAGAGACAGGAUCAUGUAGUCGUAUGAAGCAGCUGCUAGCGCACAAGAGGCGGCACACAAGAGGAAGCAGAACGUGGGAAGAGCCUUUGAGCCAGCCAUUCUGCAGAGGUGGGGAGGAUGAUCGGGGGAGA
rnacentral:lncRNA from 1 species